rnacentral:rRNA from 1 species
GGGCGACGUGGGAGCUGCUCCAGGCGUCGAGUGGCGGACGGGUGAGUAAUACUUAGGAAUCUGCCCAGUAGUGGGGGACAACUCGGGGAAGCUCGAGCUAAUACCGCAUACGCCCUACGGGGGAAAGCGGGGGAUCUUCGGACCUCGCGCUAUUGGAUGAGCCUAAGUCGGAUUAGCUUGUUGGUAGGGUAACGGCCUACCAAGGCGACGAUCCGUAGCUGGUCUGAGAGGACGAUCAGCCACACUGGGGCUGAGACACGGCCCAGGCUCCUACGGGAGGCAGCGGUGGGGAAUAUUGGACAAUGGGCGCAAGCCUGAUCCAGCAAUGCCGCGUGUGUGAAGAAGGCCUGCGGGUUGUAAAGCACUUUCAGUAGUGAAGAAAAGCCUAGGGUAAUACCCCUGAGUCCUGACGUUAACUACAGAAGAAGCACCGGCUAACUCCGUGCCAGCAGCCGCGGUAAUACGGAGGGUGCAAGCGUUAAUCGGAAUUACUGGGCGUAAAGCGCGCGUAGGCGGCUUUGUAAGUCGGAUGUGAAAGCCCCGGGCUCAACCUGGGAAUUGCAUUCGAUACUGCAGAGCUAGAGUAAGGUAGAGGAAAGUGGAAUUUCCGGUGUAGCGGUGAAAUGCGUAGAUAUCGGAAGGAACACCAG